rnacentral:rRNA from 1 species
AGCUCCAAUAGCGUAUAUUAAAGUUGUUGCAGUUAAAAAGCUCGUAGUUGGAUCUCGGGUACUAGCAUGUGGUUCGCUUAACUGUCGUAACUACAUGACUGGUCCUAAUUAAUCGGUUGGCCGUUGAUGUCCUUUAUUGGGUGUUUUCGGUAGCCGGUACGUUUACUUUGAGAAAAUUAGAGUGCUUAAAGCAGGCUUUACGCCUGAAUAAUGUUGCAUGGAAUAAUAGAAUAGGACCUCGGUUUUAUUUUGUUGGUUUUGUAGAGCAUUGAGGUAAUGAUUAAUAGGGACAGACGGGGGCAUUCGUAUUGCGGUGUUAGAGGUGAAAUUCUUGGAUCGCCGCAAGACGAACAACUGCGAAAGCAUUUGCCAAGAAUGUUUUCA